rnacentral:rRNA from 1 species
UACGUAGGGUGCGAGCGUUGUCCGGAAUUAUUGGGCGUAAAGAGCUCGUAGGCGGCCUGUCGCGUCGGAUGUGAAAGCCCGGGGCUUAACCCCGGGUCUGCAUUCGAUACGGGCAGGCUAGAGUGUGGUAGGGGAGAUCGGAAUUCCUGGUGUAGCGGUGAAAUGCGCAGAUAUCAGGAGGAACACCGGUGGCGAAGGCGGAUCUCUGGACCGGUACUGACGCUGAUGCGCGAAAGCGUGGGGAGCAAACAGG